rnacentral:rRNA from 1 species
UACGGGGGGGGUAAGCGUUGUUCGGAAUUACUGGGCGUAAAGGGCUCGUAGGCGGCCAACUAAGUCGGACGUGAAAUCCCUCAGCUUAACUGGGGAACUGCGUCCGAUACUGGAUGGCUUGGAUUUGGGAGAGGGAUGCGGAAUUCCAGGUGUAGCGGUGAAAUGCGUAGAUAAUCUGGAGGAACACCGGUGGCGAAGGCGGCAUCCUGGAC